rnacentral:rRNA from 1 species
CAGUAGCCGCGGUAAUACGUAGGGUGCAAGCGUUAAUCGGAAUUACUGGGCGUAAAGCGUGCGCAGGCGGUUAUAUAAGACAGAUGUGAAAUCCCCGGGCUCAACCUGGGAACUGCAUUUGUGACUGUAUAGCUAGAGUACGGCAGAGGGGGAUGGAAUUCCGCGUGUAGCAGUGAAAUGCGUAGAUAUGCGGAGGAACACCGAUGGCGAAGGCAAUCCCCUGGGCCUGUACUGACGCUCAUGCACGAAAGCGUGGGGAGCAAACAGGAUUAGAUAUCCCUGUAGUCCCUGUCUCUUAUAC